CAACUUUCAACAACGGAUCUCUUGGCUCUCGCAUCGAUGAAGAACGCAGCGAAAUGCGAUAAGUAAUGUGAAUUGCAGAAUUCAGUGAAUCAUCGAAUCUUUGAACGCACAUUGCGCCUUUUGGUAUUCCGAAAGGCAUGCCUGUUUGAGUGUCAUAU
rnacentral:rRNA from 5 species